rnacentral:lncRNA from 1 species
AUGUUUGUGGCCUGAAAAAGUCUUCCUGGAAAUGUAGAUAAUAAGAAUUAUCGAUUUAUUUAUAUAUUUACCGUUUAGUUGGAUAAUGUUUGAGAAACUGGAAUAAAAUUAGUUUUACAUUAUUUGAACUAGUUCAAUUUUAGUUAAACAAAUAAAAUCGAAGAUACCUCAUAAACGUUCAACUGUUCGGAACUUCGACAUAAAUUUCGUAAAAAUCAAAUUUGAUUUUGAAUUUUAGAAUAUAUAUAUAUAAUAUAUAUAGACUUAUGUAAACAUGUAAGUAGUAAAUUAGAUAGAAAUCAAUUUUGGGCGGAGGCCCUUUAAUCCGUGAAAGCAGUGCCAUAAGCAUUCCUCCCAGCCUUGUAUAUGUAAGGCCUUUUAUUAGAUAUCGGCAUUUGUAUUCAUAAACAGGCGUUAUACAUGAGUCCUUUAAAGUGUGAGAGCUGGCGAGUGAGGUUUUUUCGGUGAGGGUUCCUGUUUUCUCUGAAUCUGGGCGUUAGGUAAGUCCUUUAUGUGUUGAAGGCUUUCAUGCGGUAACUGUUCCUCCUGUUUGGGGUACUGAAUGCUACAUCUUUGUAGCGAGAUUUGAGCUUUCGUGUAUGCCAUGUUAGAGCAUUUGUCAGAUGCUAGAAUACGACUAUUAUUCGAUUAAAUCUGGAACUUUAUGGCCACAAGUUCCUUUAAAUCCUUUUAUGGAGGGUCAUCUUAGAUUUAAAAAAUAAAUUAAGCAUUUGGGCUUUUCUAUAACUUUUCAAAAUGUUUUCGAGCCCAUUUAGGAGAUUUGUCUCUGCAUCUGCCGAUUUUAUUUUUCUCUUCUUUUUUUCAUUUAGAACCUUCCUUGAUGGUUGGUCUUAUUCUAUCAUAUACAUUGAGCCUCGUUUAGAUCUGUUUACAUGUUCAAGGGACUCAUUCAGGCGCCUAAUCGAUCGGAACUUGUAGAAACCAGGCAUGAAUGCAUAUUGUUAAAAAAGGUAAACCUCAGUAAACGGAUCUUAAGAUACAAAAUACGCUUAUACGUCAACUGAUGUCGUUAUGUUUGUAGUGUAUAGGAACUCGAGUUGUGGUGAAAUAUUGUUAUCGAUUCCCUGUGUGCUAAUUAUCUGGAUAAUGUUUGACUUCCCGAUCAAUAUCUAGUUGUCCGAAGCAUUAUGUUCAUCGCCUGUUGGCUAUUCUGUCGUCAUUCCUUAAUGUUGACCUGUUUUCUUAUCUGCACAAUUGCACUGUUUCAACAUGUUAAAAAUAUUAUAAAAAAAUAUAGGGGCCUAUAUAUUUAUACUCAACCUUUGAUAUAAAAAAAAAAUUGCAUGGUAAAAACCCGUUGUAACCGAUAAUGUUUAAUGUUUAGAAGGGUUAAAAAUAUUUUUGAGAAGAUAAAAAAACAUAUCCGAAAACACGUCCAUAAAACUCAAAAAUAAAAAAUAUAUAUAUAUAUAGAUAUAUUUAAGUGAUUUUUUGAGACCAAAAUUACGAUUAAGCGGACUGAUGACUUUUGACACAGGGUCUAACAAAAAAAACUAAAUCAUCAGUUCGCUAAUCCACACGCGCACAUCACUAUGAGGAUUAAGUUAAUCCUAUAUCUCUUCUUAAGCUUAUCUUUGUAUAUAGGAUUAUAUAAAUAAACGAAUAAGGAAUAUAUAUAUAUAUAGUAUAUAAAUAUUUAAAAAAAUCGAACAAACUUAUGAUUGUGCCUUUACUAUUGAAAGGAAAUGGUGUCCAACAUAUCUCUCUAGAAAAAAAAGAAAGAAAAAAAAAACGUCCACUUAUUCUUAGAAUAUCACCAAUUGUGUCUCGUCUUAGUUUAGUGAUGUCGGAAAUUUAUGUGCUGUACUUUUUAAUCUAUUUAAUCUCAUAUACACAAGCCCAAAUUUGGGAUGAGUAUGUUUCUAGUCAUUUUUAGAAAAACCGAUGGAGAAUCACAAAUCUAUAGGUAAAAGUAUAUGUUGUGUAACGAUUAUUUAAUGUAUCUUACUAUCAUUUUAAGUUUAGAUGAAUAAAGCUUUGAUAUUUGCAAG